rnacentral:rRNA from 1 species
UACGUAGGUGGCAAGCGUUGUCCGGAAUUAUUGGGCGUAAAGCGUGCGCAGGCGGUUUUCCAAGACAGAUGUGAAAUCCCCGGGCUCAACCUGGGAAUGGCAUUUGUGACUGGAAGGCUAGAGUGUGCCAGAGGGGGGUAGAAUUCCACGUGUAGCAGUGAAAUGCGUAGAGAUGUGGAGGAAUACCGAUGGCGAAGGCAGCCCCCUGGGAUAACACUGACGCUCAUGCACGAAAGCGUGGGGAGCAAACAGG